AAGUCGUAACAAGGUUUCCGUAGGUGAACCUGAGGAAGGAUCAUUAACGUAUCCAACGCCAAAACCCCCCCGUGAACCUUCAGUGUGCUCGUACGCUUUGUUAGAAAGUAGUAAUCCCUGGUAAAUCAUCGCCGAACAGUUUUGAUUCAGGGACUGUGCUUGUAGCGAGAGGUGGCGCAGUCACGAUCGCUAGAGGCCGACACGGCUGGCGACCGGGUCACCGCUCACGCCCCUUUAUUUCCUUUGCAUGAAAACGGGCCUGCGCUUAAUUGUGCGGCCAUAAACCGAACAACUGUUAACAAUGGAUAUCUUGGUUCUC
rnacentral:misc_RNA from 1 species